CAGAAAUGGACAACAAUUAAUGGUUAUUCAGAACGUCAAAAAUUAGUGCAGCUGACCACCAACGAAAAUCACCUAUAAAAGGGAAGAAGAAAUUGAUUCCAGCCAAAAUUCAGUGCAUGUGACCGCCGAGUAGUGGAAGAAUUACUUCGAUGGACCACCAAUUACCGUAGAGGACUGGAAAGAGUGGAAGAAGUCGUUUCGUGCAAUGGUGAUGCAAAAAAUGGCAGAGGAAGGUGGAUACUCAGCGGGCGUAUCUGCAGACAAGGAAGAAGAAAGACAACACAAUCAGUGACGUGUAACACUCGCAACGAAAUCCUCAACAGAAUCACUUCGCACUACUGGUAGAAGUAAGCCUAGUGGUAAAUCUAAGAAGAAGUGAUGUCACUUCAUUCCAGAGACAUUUCCAUAUGAAGCCGGGUCAUCUUCGUCAAAACAGCCGGAAGUGUAAAUCGACGCACCCGAAAGCUUUCGCAGUUGCAAUUUUUUUUUUUUGUUUAAAUGUGUAUAGCGCAUCUUAUGUUUUCAGACCAUGCACUUUAAAGUGUAAAGUCGUGCACCUUAAGACUUAAGUGCAUCGUUUAAUUGAAUAAAUUAUUUAUGCAA